AACGCACGAGACCUGCGGACCUGCGGAGGGAUCAUUACCGAGUUAUACAACUCCCAAACCCACUGUGAACCUUACCUCAGUUGCCUCGGCGGGAACGCCCCGGCCGCCUGCCCCCGCGCCGGCGCCGGACCCAGGCGCCCGCCGCAGGGACCCCAAACUCUCUUGCAUUACGCCCAGCGGGCGGAAUUUCUUCUCUGAGUUGCACAAGCAAAAACAAAUGAAUCAAAACUUUCAGCAACG
rnacentral:misc_RNA from 1 species